rnacentral:rRNA from 1 species
GGCCAGACUCCUACGGGAGGCAGCAGUGGGGGAUAUUGCACAAUGGGGGAAACCCUGAUACAGCGACGCCGCGUGUGGGAAGACGGCCUUCUGGAUUGUAAACCACUGUCCCCAGGGACGAAAAUGACGGUACCUGGGGAGGAAGCUCCGGCUAACUACGUGCCAGCAGCCGCGGUAAUACGUAGGGAGCAAGCGUUGUCCGGAAUUACUGGGUGUAAAGGGAGCGUAGGCGGGGAUGCAAGUUGGGUGUCAAAACUAUCGGCUCAACCGAUAGUCGCACUCAAAACUGCAGCUCUUGAGUGAAGUAGAGGCAGGCGGAAUUCCUAGUGUAGCGGUGAAAUGCGUAGAUAUUAGGAGGAACACCAGUGGCGAAGGCGGCCUGCUGGGCUUUUACUGACGCUGAGGCUCGAAAGUGUGGGGAGCAAACAGGAUUAGAUACCCCCGUAA